GAAGAGAAGAGAAACCAAGCGGAGACGACGAGACCACCACUCCACCUUCUCUUCCUCCCUCUACACCUCGCCCCGCUUCCCUCUCUCGCCGGCGUCGUCCCCCUCCCCUCCCCCUCCGCCGCCGCCGCAGCAGCACAGGGACACCCUCCGCCUCCUCCCGGAUCUACUCGCGCCCCCUACGGCUGUCUCCCUCUAGCUCCCCCGCCCUCCCCCUCUGCUCAGAUCCGUCACUGCUACUCCAGCCCGGCACCCGAGAUCCGCCACCGCGGUCUUCCCCCUCCCCUCGCCGGUGGGGUGGAGCUCGUUGCAGCGUAUAAUAUUUGGCUGGACUACCAUAGUACUUUUUGGAUACCUUUUGUGGUCUCUACUCCAUCAUCGUGUUUGUCAGCACAACACCUUGGACGAAAGGAUGCUUGAAAUUUAGACUGGAUAAAUAAGAACUAUAUUGGACUCCACAUUCAUUAAUAAACUUAGCCAUGCUGCUAAUUAUUCCCGGUCGCUGCCAUAAGGUGUUCUCGCUAUUGCCUUCUGCUUCUCUGUGUUAUGGAAAUUGGGACUCUGCUGCUGUCAUGUAUGAUGCCCUCUGAAUUUGAACCAUGGCGCAUGCAAGGAGAUUUCCAACAGAUCCCAAAGAAUAUAAAUUAUGUGAGGAAGUUGGAGAUGGUGUUAGUGCCACGGUGUACAAAGCUCUUUGUAUCCCACUUAAUACUGAAGUUGCUAUUAAAGUUCUUGACCUUGAGAAGUGCAAUAAUGACCUGGAUGGAAUAAGACGAGAAGUACAAACCAUGAGCUUGAUUGAUCAUCCAAAUCUUCUUCGAGCAUAUUGCUCGUUUACAAAUGGUCAUCAGCUUUGGGUUGUUAUGCCUUACAUGGCUGCUGGAUCAGCUCUACACAUUAUGAAAACUUCUUUUCCAGAUGGGUUUGAGGAGCCAGUCAUUGCAACUCUUUUGAGGGAAGUUCUUAAAGCUCUUGUGUACCUACACUCCCAAGGGCAUAUUCACAGAGAUGUAAAGGCUGGAAAUAUCCUAAUAGAUACAAAUGGAGCUGUUAAGCUAGGAGACUUUGGAGUAUCAGCCUGCAUGUUUGAUACUGGGAAUAGGCAAAGAGCACGAAACACUUUUGUAGGAACCCCAUGCUGGAUGGCUCCUGAAGUCAUGCAACAACUGCAUGGUUAUGAUUACAAAGCUGACAUUUGGUCAUUUGGGAUAACGGCAUUGGAACUAGCACAUGGUCAUGCUCCAUUCUCAAAGUACCCUCCAAUGAAGGUGUUGCUUAUGACCUUGCAAAAUGCACCACCAGGUCUAGACUACGAGAGGGACAAGCGAUUUUCAAAGUCUUUCAAGGACUUGGUUGCAACAUGCUUAGUCAAAGAUCCACGCAAGCGUCCCUCUUCAGAAAAGCUCUUGAAGCAUUCUUUUUUUAAGCAUGCACGUACAACUGAAUUUCUUGCCCGGAGUAUUCUUGAUGGCCUCCCCCCACUGGGUGAACGCUUUAGGGAAUUGAAGGGAAAAGAGGCUGACUUGCUUCUUAGUAAUAAGCUUGGUUCAGAGAGCAAGGAGCAGCUAUCACAGAAAGAGUACAUACGAGGCAUCAGUGGUUGGAACUUCAAUCUGGAGGACCUGAAAAAUGCAGCUGCUCUUAUAGACAGUACAAACGGAACGUGCCAUUUAGAUGGUGUCAACAGCAAAGUUAAGGAUGGUUUACAAGAAGCUAAUGAGCCAGAAAAUAUUUACCAGGGACAGGCUAACCAGGUUGCUUCUGCAAGGCAUGAGGACGAGAUACAAGAGGUCGAAGAUUUGGAUGGUGCUCUUGCUUCCUCUUUCCCAAGCCGCCCCCUCGAAGCAUUAAAAUCUUGCUUUGAUGUUUGUGGGGAUGAUGAUCCCUGCCCUACUGCUACUGAUUCAAGGGAGCAACCAAGUAGGGAAUCUGCAUCACAAAUAGAUCAUCAUAGAAGUGCCAACUGUAAUGGUGAAAUUUUGGAAAGAAGUGCUUCUGUACCCUCAAACUUGGUCAAUAGAGGGUCCCACAAGUUCUUAAGUGGUUCCCUGAUACCUGAACAUGUUCUUUCUCCUUACAGGAAUGACCCAGCAAGGAAUGAGUGUCAUCAGAAAAAUACAUGCAACAGGAACCGUAGUGGGCCCCUAUCCCGCCAAAUGAAAGAUUCACGAUCACAUCUGCCUGUUGAACCUGAGGAGCAACCUGAAGGAAAAGUUAUCCAGCGAAGGGGGCGUUUUCAGGUUACAUCAGAUAGUAUUGCUCAAAAGCUUCAUCAGCAAGCAGCAGCAGGUGCUCAAAUUUACCAAUCGGAGUAACACGACCAUCUUUUCAUCCAUCAACAAUUCUUCCAACACUAGAAUUCUUGAUACAGCAAAGUACCAUGCAAAAGGAAGUGCUAAGUAGACUGAUUUCUUCAAUUGAGGAAAUAUCUGCUGCUGCUGAUGCCGGUACAACUGGUUCGUCUCAGUCAUCUGGAGCGCAUUUCAGAGAGAAGGAACUGCAAUCGUACAUCGCCAACUUGCAGCAAAGUGUCACCGAACUUGCUGAGGAAGUCCAAAGAUUAAAGCUAAAAAAUUCUAAGCUGGAGGAGCAGAUAAAUGCAGUCCCCAAAAAAGAUGAAAAGUUGCGAACAGAGGAUACCCGACAACAAUGACGUACACAAUGCAAUGUAACGCCCGCUGUAAAAUCAGUUCCCCAAUUUUGAAUUUGAUUAGCAAAAUUGUUUGUAUUUUGUUCAAAGUCAGGCCUGGUGUAUCAUUGUAAUUUGUAAUUAUUUUAGCAAGGUGAAAUUAUAGUAAUUUUGAUUUGUACAGGAGAUUUCAAUCUAUAACACAGUUGGAAGAUUGGUAGUAGAAAAUACCACGCUCUCUCUCUCUACUAAACCAGUAGCACAGAGCACGGUUAAUCUUACCGGUGGAAACUGGUUUGUUUUGGCGAAAAAUUGUGAAACUAGAUCCUGGCGGUUACAUAUACCAUCUUGAAACGAAAAGGCUAACUGGCGAAUGCCUAUGGGUCCGUGAACCUGUGUGAACA